AAAAAACUGAAACUAAAAACCCUAAGCCUCCCUUUUCUCUCCUUUCCCCUCACCUUCUCCGAUCGGAGGACCACGCCGCCACCAAGGUCGACGGGCAGUGGUGCAAGACUGGGUUUUAACCCCUUUUGCGGUGUCCUUGAGAGCCAAGCUCUCUCAACCCACGAGAAGCGAAACGAAAGGGAGACCGUCAACGCCUUUAGACCCAAAUCGGGCAACGGAGGAGAGACCCACUGGCGGCGCGGUCAUGGCCAAACUCCAGUGUGUUUCCCUUCCCCCUCUUUGCUUGUUAUUUAGUAAAUAGAAAAAAGGAAAAUAAAAUAGAAAAAUAAAAAGAUUCGAACAAAGAAAGUAAAAAAACUUCUCAAAUCUGCUAUUUUUUGUUUUUUAUUUCCUAUUCGUUAAAAAAAGAAGAAGAUCUACAAGCAUCAGAUCCAGGCUUUUAUAGCCGAUUUACACAACUUUAGUUUUCUAUUUUUUGUUGUUUCUGAUUUUUCUCUUGCUGUUGCGUGUUUGCUUGUUUUGCAGGUGGAGUAGACGCGGAUGGAGUAGGUGGCGUGGUAGGGUGGCCGACGUGACAGUGGGCAGGUGAGCGUCAUGGCAGAGGUCUGAAGGCUGCGGCGUUAGGGUUUUAGAAUAGCUGAAACCCUAGUUUGACCCUUGACAUUUGGUCUUGGGUCUGUUGGGCUGUCUUAGGCUUGUUGGGCUUCGGGUUAUUGGGCCUUUUGUAAUAUAUUUUCUUUUUG
rnacentral:lncRNA from 1 species